AUGCCCACGCCGUCACCUCCGGUGACUACAUAUCGCAAAACUCAUCCAGCUGAGCGCGCGCACGUUCGGAACCCCUUACAUGUCUCCUCUAGCAAUGAAUGGCCCGCAGCAUCGCGUCGAAGAAUGACCGGAAGCUCGACGUUGCAUCCCCUGUUUCUGUCUGUCAUGCACGCAGGAAGAUCAGUUCUUGUUGAAAAACACGAGCUGAUCGAGCACCUUGAGGCCAAAGUGAGUGCUGACAGCGCGAGAUCUCACCCUCUCACCGAUUUGUUCAUACCAACCAACGACAGUGAGCACGACAUAUGCUACACCCAUCCUGAGAAACUUCCAGGUAUCACACUGAGUGGCCUAAGCAAGCAUUUCUUCCAGCGCAAUCCCAGGGUGUUCAAAAGGGACACGUGGACGCGUCGCAAGAUACAGUCGGAGUGCGACAUGCACGCGAUGUGGCACAAGACCGACAAUACCUUGCCGGUGAUGGUCAACGGCCGGCAGACCGGCAACAAAAAGGUUCUGGUGCUGCACACCAACAAGAACUUCGACCAGCAGAGGACCAACUGGGUGAUGCACCAGUACCACCUCGGGGACCUGGAGCAAGAGAAGGAGCAGGAGCUGGUCCUCUGCAAGAUUUUCUACCAGAUGAACCAAAGGGCCAGAAGUCGAGCAAGUUUCAACUGGGCUGUAGACUGCCUAGGCUUGAUUUUGUUUUUAACAGGCCCAGCCCAUGACGACAACGGGGCAUAA
rnacentral:rRNA from 1 species